rnacentral:lncRNA from 1 species
GCGACAGAGUCUCUUGGUUUUGGCUCAGGUCGUGAUCUCAGGACUGUGGGAUCAAGCCCCACAGUGGGCUCUGCACUGAACACGGAGGCUGCUCGGAAUUCUCUCUCUCUCUCUCUCUCUCUGCCCCUUCCCCUCCCCACUCUGUGCUUUCAAAGCUCUCUCUCUAAGAAAGAAAGAAAGAAAGAAGAAAGAAAGAAGAAAGAAAGAAAGAAAGAAAGAAAGAAAGAAAGAGAAAGAAAGAGGAAAGAAGGGAGGAGGGAGGGAAGGAAGGAGGACCAGGAACCCCCCCCCCCCCCCCCCCCCCCCCCCCCCCCCCCCCCCCCCCCCCCCCCCCCCCCCCCCCCCCCCCCCCCCCCCCCCCCCCCCCCCCCCCCCCCCCCCCCCCCCCCCCCCCCCCCCCCCCCCCCCCCCCCCCCCCCCCCCCCCCCCCCCCCCCCCCCCCCCCCCCCCCCCCCCCCCCCCCCCCCCCCCCCCCCCCCCCCCCCCCCCCCCCCCCCCCCCCCCCCCCCCCCCCCCCCCCCCCCCCCCCCCCCCCCCCCCCCCCCCCCCCCCCCCCCCCCCCCCCCCCCCCCCCCCCCCCCCCCCCCCCCCCCCCCCCCCCCCCCCCCCCCCCCCCCCCCCCCCCCCCCCCCCCCCCCCCCCCCCCCCCCCCCCCCCCCCCCCCCCCCCCCCCCCCCCCCCCCCCCCCCCCCCCCCCCCCCCCCCCCCCCCCCCCCCCCCCCCCCCCCCCCCCCCCCCCCCCCCCCCCCCCCCCCCCCCCCCCCCCCCCCCCCCCCCCCCCCCCCCCCCCCCCCCCCCCCCCCCCCCCCCCCCCCCCCCCCCCCCCCCCCCCCCCCCCCCCCCCCCCCCCCCCCCCCCCCCCCCCCCCCCCCCCCCCCCCCCCCCCCCCCCCCCCCCCCCCCCCCCCCCCCCCCCCCCCCCCCCCCCCCCCCCCCCCCCCCCCCCCCCCCCCCCCCCCAGCAGACUGGACAAAAACAGUCUUUCCCGGGGGUCUGUGGUCCCCAGGUGGGGCGCGGCCCACGGGCAAGUGGAAACCGCUCUCGCAGCAGCGCGUGGGGAGCCAGGGCUGACCUGAGUCAGCGGGCAGUGACCCGAGUGCCCCUGGGCGCCACACACAGCUCCGGGCCCCUGGACACGGCAGGAAAAAUACAACAGGCACAGUUAAUUCCCUUCCCGCCCCCGGUUUACUUACUUACAGGGUGA